AAAGUUUGUCAACCUGAAAAAGAAUGGAUUGUUAGGGGAAAAGUUGCAAAGGAGUUGCCUACUAUUUGCAUAAUGUCGACGAAUUCUGGUGGAAGACCUCCGAGCAUUUCACGCAUUUGAAGACCAUUUCGGCACAACUUUU
ensembl:ncRNA C34B2.12 ncRNA